rnacentral:rRNA from 1 species
UACGGAGGGUGCGAGCGUUGUCCGGAAUCACUGGGCGUAAAGGGCGCGUAGGCGGCUUGGCAAGUCAAUGGUGAAAGCUCGUGGCUCAACUGCGAGUCGGCCACUGAUACUGCUAGGCUUGAGCACUGUAGAGGCAGAUGGAAUUCCGGGUGUAGCGGUGGAAUGCGUAGAGAUCCGGAAGAACACCGGUGGCGAAGGCGGUCUGCUGGGCAGUUGCUGGACGCUGAGGCGGCGACAGCGGUGGGGAGCAAACAGGAUUAGAGUACCGGU